rnacentral:rRNA from 1 species
GGCGAUCAGAUACCGCCCUAGUUCUGACCGUAAACGAUGCCAACUAGCGAUCCGCCAGUCGACUCAUCGCUCUGGUGGGGAGCUUCCCGGAAACGAAAGUCUUCCGGUUCCGGGGGAAGUAUGGUUGCAAAGCUGAAACUUAAAGGAAUUGACGGAAGGGCACCACCAGGAGUGGAGCCUGCGGCUUAAUUUGACUCAACACGGGGAAACUCACCCGGCCCGGACACCGUAAGGAUUGACAGAUUGAUAGCUUUUUCAUGAUUCGGUGGAUGGUGGUGCAUGGCCGUUCUUAGUUCGUGGAGCGAUUUGUCUGGUUUAUUCCGAUAACGAGCGAGACUCUGGCCUACUAAAUAGUUGACGCAUUGCCACUGUGCGCACAACUUCUUAGAGGGAUUUUCGGUGUUUUCAACCGCACGAAAUUGAGCAAUAACAGGUCUGUGAUGCCCUUAGAUGUCCGGGGCUGCACGCGCGCUACACUGGCAAAAUCAGCGUGCUUGUCCUCCCCCGAAAGGGGUUGGUAAACCGAUGAAAAUUUGCCGUGAUUGGGAUCGGACAUUGCAAUUAUUGUCCGUGAACGAGGAAUCCCUUGUAAGGGCGAGUCAUCAACUCGUCCUGAAUACGUCCCUGCCCUA